GUGCUUGCUUCCGAAGCACAAAUACUAACAUUGGAAUGAUACAGAAAAGAUUAGCAUGGACCCUAUGCAAGGAUGACAUGCAAAUUCAUGAAGCAUUCCAUAUUUUU
ensembl:snRNA U6 U6 spliceosomal RNA